rnacentral:rRNA from 1 species
UACGUAGGGAGCAAGCGUUGUCCGGAAUCAUUGGGCGUAAAGCGCGCGUAGGUGGCCCAGUAAGUCCGUUCUGAAAGUCACAGGCUCAACCUGUGAAAGCGGAUGGAUACUGCUGGGCUAGAGUCCGGAAGAGGCGAGUGGAAUUCCUGGUGUAGCGGUGGAAUGCGCAGAUAUCAGGAGGAACACCAACGGCGAAGGCAGCUCGCUGGGACGGUACUGACACUGAGGCGCGAAAGCGUGGGGAGCAAACAGG